AUUAAAGUUUGGGUUGAUUUCGACUUACAUGUCCGAGCAGUUGGUUAGUGGAUUUACGGCAGCAGUGGCAAUACACAUCACAACGAGUCAGGCAAAACAUAUUUUUGGCAUCUCUGUGCCUCAACAUAAUGGCAUAUUCAAGGUGAUAAAGACCUGGAGAGAUGUUUGUUACAACAUACCAUCCACUAACUUCGCCACACUCAUUAGCACUGUGAUUUGUUUUAUCAUUCUUUACCUCGUUAAAGUUCAAAUUAAUAUGAGAUUUAAGGCCAAACUGAAGAUGCCCAUUCCUAUAGAACUCAUCAUUAUUUCCAUUGCAACUGUCAUAGCUCAUUUUGCCAAGUUCCAUCAGAGGUUUAACAUCAACAUUUUAAAAGACAUCCCAGCAGGGUUGCCAUCACCAGUUUUACCUAACCCUGUUUUGGCUACAGGGUAUGUAGCUGACGCCUUCAUUAUAGGAAUCGUGGCCUUCACCCAUUCGGUAUCUGGCGCUAGACUUCUGGCCAGGAAACAUAAUUAUGAAAUUGAUCCUA